GAUGAACGCUAGCGGCAGGCUUAAUACAUGCAAGUCGUGGGGCAGCAUGAAUGUAGCAAUACAUUUGAUGGCGACCGGCAAACGGGUGCGGAACACGUACACAACCUUCCUAUAAGUGGGGAAUAGCCCAGAGAAAUUUGGAUUAAUACCCCGUAACAUAAUGAUGUGGCAUCACAUUAUUAUUAUAGCUUCGGCGCUUAUUGAUGGGUGUGCGGCUGAUUAGAUAGUUGGCGGGGUAACGGCCCACCAAGUCUACGAUCAGUAGCUGAUGUGAGAGCAUGAUCAGCCACACGAGCACUGAGACACGGGCCCGACUCCUACGGGAGGCAGCAGUAAGGAAUAUUGGUCAAUGGACGCAACUCUGAACCAGCCAUGCCGCGUGAAGGAUUAAGGUCCUCUGGAUUGUAAACUUCUUUUAUCUGGGGCGAGAAAAGGCGAUUCUUCGUCACUUGACGGUACCAGAUGAAUAAGCACCGGCUAACUCCGCGCCAGCCGCCGCGGUAAUAC
rnacentral:rRNA from 1 species